rnacentral:lncRNA from 1 species
CUCCUCAAGGUACAGAGUGACUUCCAACAGGUAUGAACUUGUACAGUCUUGUGAGAAGGCCUUUCAUUAGGAUGUCUCAAUCUUUCUCUGUCAAGACCAGUGAUCCAUUAGGAGGCCAACCCAGCACUGAAGCAUGGCUCCCGAAGACAGGACUCAUACAGCCUGCAGGCAAAAACCACAAGCCAAAGUCAGAGCCUCCACUAAAGCCCUCGGAGGGGGCGGCCUGGGACCUGGUGGGGGCUGGGGACUGAUGUCUGGUCUCCAGAACUGUGAGAAACAAAUGUCUGUUUCUUUAAGCUACCCAUUGUGUGGUCAUUUACUGCAUUCAGUAGUUCCUGGCAUACAUAAGCGUUCCAUAAAUAGUAGCAACAAUGACUACCAGACUUACUACCGGACCUGACUAUUAUCUCAACCCAAAUUUCAUUAAAAGUAACAAUUACUGGAGUAAAA